rnacentral:lncRNA from 1 species
GGUGCCAUGGUGCUUCAUACAAGUAUCAGUAGGCCGGUUGCUUUUGUUAGCAAAAUUCCUUGGACCGCAGCGUCAAAUCAGCUGAUGGUGUCUUUGCACAGUUUGGCCAUAUCCAAAAAUGUGUUGUACCUUUUGACAAGGAGACUGGCUUUCACAGAGGUUUGGGUUGGGUUCAGUUUUCUUCAGAAGAACUUCAGAAUGCACUAUAACAGGAAAAUCAUAUUAUAGAUGGAGUAAAGCUCCAGAUUGGAGCUCAAAGGCCAAAAGUUUUGUAAACAUCUGAUGAAGAGAAAGAUUU